GCUGUUCCUUUCCCCAGGGAUAAUCUCAACCUUCCUCCACGUGCAUCCCUUUGGGGCCAGCAUUGAGUACAUCUGCUCCUACCUGCAGCGCCUGGACAGCAAGAUCUGCACGGCCGAGGUGGAAGUGCUCAUGACGCGACUGCAGAACACGUUCCGGCAGGAGCUCAGUGGGGUCGGGGCCAGCCUGGAGAAGAGGUGGAAGUUUUGUGGCUUUGAUGGGUUGAAAAUGACUUGAGCUUUGACUUCUCGCUGGAAGCAGCGGGAUAGGGAUGCUGAGGAAAGCCGGGAUGCUCCUCCCUCUGCUCCUGCCAUUCCCACCAUGGCCCUGGGUAACAAAGAGUAAAAGUGAAACCAAGUCCAGAGCACCACUGGAAGAACCUCCAAGUUCUGCAGCUCCUUUGAUCAGUUAUUUGUUAAUGGGCAAGUGCUGUUCAAUAUAUUUGGGGAAAAGCUCCUGCCUGACCCUUUGAAGCACAGCGUGUCGACUCUGUGUUCUGCCAAUGUUGUAUGUGCUUGUGUGCCCAAAUUCCUCCUCCUCAGCCUUCCUUCUGCUAGGAACAGCCACAGACUGUCCUGAACCAAUAACAAAGGGGCAUCUUCUGCUUUCUAGAUCACCAAAAGGGGAAAAAAAAGGCAUUUUUUAGAUAUUUCUGUGAGUAAAAACCAAGGUAUGUUUAAACAGAAGAUUUGGAUGGCUCAGGGGCCUCUGAGCCAAGGAA